rnacentral:misc_RNA from 1 species
AGGAGAAUCAUCUCUUUCUACACUGUUACCCGCGACCGCAAAUUUAUGCCAUGGCUGCAUCAAUCCAAUAAGACUAUAAUGCUCUCAAUCCCAUUUUCUAACCCAAGUGACUACAGUAGGAAGCAAAGUAGGCUAGUAAAAAUGCUCUUAAGUCUCAUAUAAGUUGCUUGGAUCCCUGAAUGACCUCCCAUGGGUGAAUUAUGAUACAAUUGGACUAAUGCAUCCCUUAAGUUACUUCUGCUACCCACAUAUAGUUUAUCUCUAUAAUACAACAACCCAUUCUGAAGUUUAUAACCACGAUAAGCAUUCCCAUCCAAGGAUAAGUGAGCAAUUAAUUCUUCUGCUUUAGGGUCCCCUUGAUAACUAUCAAUGAGUGUAGCCAUCCAUGUAGGCUGUAAAGGAGAGAUUAAGACACAUAACUGAGUUGCAAUACCACUUGUGCACUACUAUUGUUUGCUUCAUUGAAUUCAAAUUGUGGAAUAGGCGAAAGUUGUUGCUAAGUUGCAUGGUUGUUGGAGCUGUUAGAGCGGGGUUUG